CCUCGAUCUCUCUCCCUCAUCAGCCGCCAAAGCAACAAACCCUAGCCCUUUCUCCACGGUUCCCCAUGGUCGUCGUGCCUCUCACUCCUCCCUCCUGCCUCAUCCGCCUUCCCUCCUUAGAUGCCAUGGUGGCAGCCGGGCCAGGGCGGGGGAAGAAAGCCGUGGGGAGUCCGCCGGUAGGAGGAAGUAGUAGAGGCUGGUGGAGUGACGGAUGCCGAGGGCCUCGUCCAGGCGGCCGCCGCCGGCCUCGGCCCCGCCGCCUCCCGCCAUGACGAGUUGUUCCGCAUCGUGCGCGCGGUCGACAAGGAUCUCCGGGGCGCCGCCGCCGGCCAGGAGGAGAACGAGAUGGAACGCCAACGUUCUCUUGGCCGAGGCUUGCUUGGGGAGCCGUUGACAAGCCGGCGGGGUGAGCUACUGUCUGGUCCCCUGUUUCCGGCGACCGUGGUGUCGAGCAAGAGUGGGUCGUGUCGUCAUGGGAAGAGCCUCAAUGACUCACCAUCGAAGAGCCGUCGUAGGAGCCACAAGGUCAAAAAAGCUGCAGAGGGGAGGAGGUCGGGAUGGAACUACCUCUUCCCCAUGUGACCUCUCUCUUCUAGCUCCCACUCCACCUCUCCUCCUGCUCCCUCUCCCCCCUGCCCUCCUCUGUUAGGUGCUUCAUCCUCUUCUUUUCCUUUCAGAGAGAUGAUGAGGUCUAGCUAGGUAUCUGCUAGGGGGAUUUUUAUUUCUUUUUGUCUACCUGAUGCUCACAUCUAGCUAGGCUUCUCUGGAGGAAAAUUUUUUUGUUUCGUUGAUUUUGUUGGGUACCUCGCAUAUGUUCCUGCAAAGGGGAUUCUGUCUCUUCCUAUUUAGAAGAUGCUCUCGGAUCUAGCUAGAUUACUAGAAGGCUUUUUGUUGUCUUUUUGGCUGUUUGGCACCUCGCUUUUUCCUCAUCGAGAAGGGGGGCGGGUUUGUCCUAGAGCUGCUUUCUUUACAUAUGUGGCUUUUGUUCGUUUGCCUGAUGUGUUACCCUCCUUUCAGCUGUAGGACUUUCAGGAUAGACCUUCCUAUCAAUUUUUAUUCGAUAAACUUAACAUAUCUCAUGGAAAUUCUGGUAUGAGAUGUGUUUUUUGCGGUGGCUGUUCUUGCAUAUUUGUGCGUUGUAGCAGAUUUAGUGACAAAAACGUUUGUAAGUCCUGGAGCAUCAGUAUAUUUAAAUUUAUUUUCCUUUUUCCCAUUUUGUUUGAUGUAUUUUGUCAAGAGGAAUUGAUUAUGUACUUGAUAUGCGAGGAGCUCAUGAGUUCGUGUCGCUGCUGUACGUCGUCUCUCCCUCCUCCCGGCUCUCAACAGGAGCAGUGCAGACCCUCUACAACUGAGGAUACCUAGAACGUUUGUCGUUGUGGUUGCGGAAUGGCGCCAGCAACUGGGAAGCGGACUAAAGCCAUGGCACCAGUGGUAGCUCUUGAUGGAGCGCCUCCUGCCAUGAAGGCACAACCAGCGGCUCCCCACGAUACACAACACCGAGAUGAUGAGGUAUGCCAUGGAAGGGUUGGGUUUUGAGUGGUAGGUGAUCCCUAUGCCGGCUGUGAUAGCGGCCAUCAUUGGUAUACAACAAUGCAGCGAUUGUCUCGGGUGUGCUCCCAUCCUCCCCACCUCCCCUAGAUGCGCAAUGUUAGGAAAACUAAUGAUUUUUUUCUCGGAUGUUCAUACAUAAUCUAGGUUGUUAUUGAGCUCCACGGCUGGCCUUAGAUUGUCUAUUCAGCAUCGGCACACUUUACUCAAAUCUAUACCAUAAGAACCUGUGCUCCAGUCUGACGAAGCAGCCAAGCUGUAUAUACACAUCUUUGCUUCCUGAUCCAUUUUGUUUUGCGAUUCAGGCCACCCCUGAUGGUCAGGCUGAUGCUUCUUCGCUUGAUUCUGAAGAAAAGGAUGAUCACAUUCAGAUCCCCAAGAACAAUAGGUGCUGCAGCUUCUCUUGUAUCUUUAUCUAUGUACUUUAAAUUCACAUGGACAGUCGAAUUGUCUGUAUAUACACACCUUGAAAUUAAGAAACUCUGGUGGUGCAAAGGGAGUUGGGACAAAGAAGAAAUUAAAGCAGUGACUGCUCUGCACUAGCUGUACAGGGAUCGAAAGCCUAUAGGUAUAGCAAUAAAUUCCCUUAUGAUGUUCAAGUUAAAUUUCUUUGUUGAAGAUAUAGCUGGAAGUUAUGUUCUGAAUUUGAUUCUUUAAACUACAGGCUAUUUUGUGUAUUAAUCUCUUCAUUUUUUUUCCUACUACACUUGCCUAAAUUGAGAUAAGCUGGCUCAAACUGCAAGCGGUAUUCUUUGAAGGUCUGCCUACAUCUACACGUUGCACAAAAGAUUGGAUCUUUGUAGUGCGUCUGCUCAUCAGUAGAGAUUACAUAGUAGGUAGUGGAACACCAUAAUAUACUAUCUUCUUAAUUUAGUAUUUUCUUUUAGAACAUAUAAGUACAUUCAGUAAUAUGUGUCUUGUUUUACUUUGUCCGCGGUGACUGGAAGUAUUCUCGGCUUUACCGUCAGUAAAAAGAAGGCAUACAAAAAAUUAAGUUUUUCCUUAGUUGCCUCAUUUAAUUGUCGCUUAUUUAUUUCAAGUUAUUCAAUUCUCGUGGAGCUUUCCUUUGCUAAAGAAGAAAAGAGGGGUUGUCAGGUCAGACUUUGGUGCGUCUCUGACUAGAGAUAGCUGGAUCCGUGUGACGCUCUUCCAAAUAGUGCAGAUUCACUGACUGGUACAACCUCUAUACCUUUGCUACUCUAGCUUCUUUUUACAUUUCUUAGUAUCAACAAAUAAGUUGGCCCCAGUAUAUACUUGAAGAUUGCAUCUGGUACAAAAUUGUUGGCUGACUAAAAUAAUUAGGUAUACUGCUCAUCUAUGUUUUAGAAAUAGAUAAUGGUAAUUUUUUCUAACGUUGGCCCACCCGGUUAAUUGAGUUGUGUCUAUGAAGGGUCAGUAGAGUAGUUGCUUUGGAAAAACCGGGAGUACCAAUUUGGUUGCCAUGCGAUUGUAAAGCCAGAAUGGUGGUACUGAAAAGUGGUCUGUAAUGGUCAUCUGUGUUCUGGAGUUGGAACUUUGAUUCUUUUGAAGCUGGAGUAGCUAGGUUGUCUAUACAUACAUGCCACCCACUAAAUUCAGAUUUCAGUAUACUAUUUAGAAUACCACUUGCUUUCACUAUAAGUACUGGACUACUAUGAGUGUCGUCGCCUUCGUCGAUGAGAGGACGAGAGCGGCAAUAGCACUAGCCAGCGAGGCAGGCUGCUUGGCUCUGGGGCCGACACACACCGUCCACUUCCGUUGGGCUGAUCUGCCACUUCAAAAACUUAUGGUGGCCGUAAGAAAUCUCAAGAGCUUAUUGUGAUGAUUUGAAUGUAAGCAGUUUCCCUUGUUGUGCUUGUGUGCUUCUAUGUCUUUCGUGGUCUAUUCUUAGUGUAUGGAAUGGUUAUAUUAGCCCUGUAGUUUACUUUAACUUUUGAAUCUUGAUGCAUCGAAAAUAGUUGUAAACUGAGACCUUAUUUCUGUGGGUGAAAGAAUAGAUGCACACUGGCUCUUUUGUUGUUUUU